AGAGUUUGAUCAUGGCUCAGAACGAACGCUGGCGGCAGGCCUAACACAUGCAAGUCGAACGAGAAGCCACCUUCGGGUGGUGGACAGUGGCAGACGGGUGAGUAACGCGUGGGAACGUGCCUUUCGGUUCGGAAUAACCCAGGGAAACUUGGGCUAAUACCGGAUACGCCCUUCGGGGGAAAGAUUCAUUGCCGAAAGAUCGGCCCGCGUCGGAUUAGCUAGUUGGUGGGGUAAUGGCUCACCAAGGCGACGAUCCGUAGCUGGUCUGAGAGGAUGACCAGCCACACUGGGACUGAGACACGGCCCAGACUCCUACGGGAGGCAGCAGUGGGGAAUAUUGGACAAUGGGCGAAAGCCUGAUCCAGCCAUGCCGCGUGGGUGAAGAAGGCCUUAGGGUUGUAAACCCCUUUCAGCGGGGAAGAUAAUGACGGUACCCGCAGAAGAAGUCCCGGCUAACUCCGUGCCAGCCGCCGCGGUAAUAC
rnacentral:rRNA from 1 species